rnacentral:rRNA from 1 species
UGAGGAAUAUUGGACAAUGGGUGAGAGCCUGAUCCAGCCAUCCCGCGUGAAGGACGACGGCCCUAUGGGUUGUAAACUUCUUUUGUAUAGGGAUAAACCUACCCUCGUGAGGGUAGCUGAAGGUACUAUACGAAUAAGCACCGGCUAACUCCGUGCCAGCAGCCGCGGUAAUACGGAGGGUGCAAGCGUUAUCCGGAUUUAUUGGGUUUAAAGGGUCCGUAGGCGGAUCUGUAAGUCAGUGGUGAAAUCUCACAGCUUAACUGUGAAACUGCCAUUGAUACUGCAGGUCUUGAGUAUUAUUGAAGUAGCUGGAAUAAAGUAGUGUAGCGGUGAAAUGCAUAGAUAUUUACUUUAGAACACCAAUUGCGAAGGCAGGUUACUAAGCAACAAACUGACGCUGAUGGACGAAAGCGUGGGGAGCGAACA